rnacentral:rRNA from 1 species
GACGAACGCUGGCGGCGUGCCUAAUACAUGCAAGUCGAGCGGAUGACGGAGGAGCUUGCUCCUCCUGAUUCAGCGGCGGACGGGUGAGUAACACGUGGGCAACCUGCCCUGUAGAUUGGGAUAACUCCGGGAAACCGGGGCUAAUACCGAAUAAUCCUUCGGACCUCAUGGUCCGAUGUUGAAAGACGGUUUCGGCUGUCACUACAGGAUGGGCCCGCGGCGCAUUAGCUAGUUGGUGAGGUAACGGCUCACCAAGACCACGAUGCGUAGCCGACCUGAGAGGGUGAUCGGCCACACUGGGACUGAGGCACGGCCCAGACUCCUACGGGAGGCAGCAGUAGGGAAUCUUCCACAAUGGACGAAAGCCUGAUGGAGCAACGCCGCGUGAGUGAAGAAGGUUCUCGGAUCGUAAAACUCUGUUGUGAGGGAAGAACAAGUACCGGAGUAACUGCCGGUGCCUUGACGGUACCUCAUUAGAAAGCCACGGCUAACUACGUGCCAGCAGCCGCGGUAA